CACUGGUAGAUCUGUUUUUUUAUUGUCUUUGUUGGCUACCCUGCUAGCAUUUCUCUGCAGGUGGGAAUUUGAUUUGAAAGUUGUUCACAAUUGCCAUUCUAUGUGGUAUCCCACUACGAAGCAUUUUGGAAAAGACAGCAAGUCUCUUCUGUGUGCUCAGAUAUGGUUGACCAGUCUCUGAAUCUAUCAUACUUAGAAGUGUGUGUGUGAGAUCUGCAAUAAAAUAUAGUUUAGAGAUGAAUGCAACAAAAACUGGAAUAUGCAUUGAAAGAAAGAGAGUUAACUGUGAUAUACCUGUAUAACCAAUGGAUGAAAUAGGUAGGUUUCUAUCUAGGUUUUAUUGAUAAAGCAAGAUUUUCUACAUUCGCGUGUUUUUGUGGAUUGUGACAUGUAAAAACUACUCGUGAAAUUCCUGCAAAUCCAUGUACUAAAAAAGAGUACAGGGAAGAUUUUCUGUUUCUUUGCUUUACCUCUCUCUCUCUUGUCAUUUUUUCUGUUUUCGAUGGUAAGAGCUACAAAUGCAUAAGAUACUUAGAAUGGUAAUGUAUAUCUUCCUUUUCUCUCUCUUCCCAUCUGAGCCCAUGCAUCUAGAGCCACUUGCCAAGGCAAUAUACAAAGAAAUGCAUAUGGGUCUUUGGGUUCUUUUAAAAGCUUUAAAAAAAUGGGCCGGGAGAUUUGCCUUCUCAAAGUCAGUUCGAAAAAACUGGAUUCUUGCCCUGUUGCUACAUAUUUUUUGGCAGUUGAGUUUAUUUAUCACUAAUAGGAUAAACAUUUGUACAUUGCUGAUAAGAGAAACUUUUGUACAUUAGUUGAGUUUAUUUAUCACUAAGCACAUCUUAUUUAGAUAUUUGUUGGAGGGCUUGGCCUGAAUACCAGCGAUGGGGAUCUCAGAUAAGACUUUUCUCAAUAUGGUGAGAUUAAUUCUGUAAAGAUACUAGUUGGGAAAGGAUGCAGGUUCGUUCAGUUUGUCAGUGGUAUAAUUUAUGACCAUGGUUCAAUAGAAAACAUGAUGGAAUCCCCUUCACAAUAUCUCUAUAAUUCUUAAUGUUAUUUUGAAUUUUGUACUUUAUUAUUCUUGGUAGAAACCAUGUUGAGGAGGCAUUGCAGAGGUUGAAUGGGACAGUCAUUGGGAACCAGAUAGUUCGUCUUUCAUGGGGUCGUAAUCCAGCCAACAAGCAGGGAACUUCCAUCUUUGGAGCUUAGUUUGUAGAUGUGGGGCUCAUGGUAUUCGUAAUUUCGCAUGCAAACUGUGAGAAGGUUGAUGAAAGUUGCAUAAGACUUUGAAAGGUUUGGGCAUUGUGUUCAAGUAGAGAUUUCUUGCAUUGAUAGUUCUUUGAAAAUAAAAUGUAUCGAUCUGUUUAGCAAUACAAUACUUGAUUUAUUCUUCAAUUUGGUAUUAGGAAUUACUUCUAUACCUAAUGGUUUUUGUGAGUUUUUAUUCAAGGAUCCUUUGCCUAUUAGGAAUGAUCGGUAAGAAAUAUCUUUGUUAGUUCCUGCUGAUUCAACUUCAUUAUUUGCAUUGCCGUAGUAAUAUAUAGCACAUUGUGUAAUGAAAUCUAUUGAUGUUUCCGUACUCUGCUAUGAAUUAAAAUAUUAAUUAUCACUUAGAUUAUGUUUUCUCUUUAUAUACUAGACUUUCUUUUUUCAAAACUUUGUUAACAACAACAACAACAACAGGGAGUUGGCUGAAUUUGCAAUUCAAUGGGUUUGUGUUCAAGGACUAGUUUCCAACGCUUGUUGUAUGUUUUGUUGCAUGCAUGAAUUGUUGUAUACUUAAUGUAAGGCAACUUGUCUAAAUUUAGUGAGAUUUCCUAAUGUAGUCGAUAAUCUGUGGAGUUAAGGUAAGUAGACCAUGUAAAAGAGGUAAUCCCUUCUCCGUAGGUGAUUUGCCUACUUUCGGUUCUGUUUGAAUGCACUAAGGAAUUGGAUUGUGAUGAUUAGUUUAAUAGAGUGGAAAUGGUGGAAUUGUAAUUACCUUUUGAGUUCUUAGAAGGAGAUUUUACCCUCAAAUAGUAGUUUGUUUCCUCUUGACUCCAACUUGGUAAUAAUGAAAUUACAAUUGGGAGUGGAGUCCCUCGCAAUAAACAGUUGAGGAAAUUGCAAUUUGGCCACUUCCAAUGUAUUGUCCUAGUCAUUGCAAUUCAAUUCAAUAGUGAAUCCAAACGCACCCUUAGAUUUCCACUAGUGGUGGAAUUUAUCUGGUUUUUACUGUGAAUAGAAGCAUUCUCAUUAAUGGCACCAUGGUUUAAAUGAUCAACUAGUACGACUCUGUAUUUUUUGAGUCAUAUCAGUUAUUGUUUGAAUUUUGGACUAAAAGCAUCUUGUCCACUCAUCUAGUAGGCCACAUAUGUAUGCCACACAUGUGGACUGUUUGUGAUUCUCGUACCAUCCGUUGUAUUGUACAUGAGUAGCACAAUCGAUUUGUUUUAGUGGCCUGAUUUAUGCACCCCUGAUGCACGUUUUGGAUGCCCCACAAACCAACUGAAAAUACCAACUCGAAAAUCUAUGACAAGAUGCAACUAGUGUUCAUAGAAAUGGACAAA